GCGUUAAUCGGAAUUACUGGGCGUAAAGCGUGCGCAGGCGGUUGUGCAAGACCGAUGUGAAAUCCCCGGGCUUAACCUGGGAAUGGCAUUGGUGACUGCACGGCUAGAGUGUGUCAGAGGGGGGUAGAAUUCCACGUGUAGCAGUGAAAUGCGUAGAGAUGUGGAGGAAUACCGAUGGCGAAGGCAGCCCCCUGGGAUGACACUGACGCUCAUGCACGAAAGCGUG
rnacentral:rRNA from 1 species